rnacentral:tRNA from 1 species
GCUGUGAUAGCCAAGUGGUUAAGGCGUUGGACUUGAAAUCCUAACAGCUGGUAACAGAGGUCAUUUGGAGAGGUUUUAAAGCA